AAGGUGGGGUGGGGAGCGCCGAGUCAGAAGAGAGCUAAAAUGGCGGAGGUUGUGAGUCCCUGCUUUUACUCUGUUUGCAAACUCUUGUUUCAUUGUUUAAGCGACUAAAUCUCUCGAGUAGACGCUGUCUCUUUAGAUGCGAGGGCAAAAUAGCACUUUAUGGACUUCCACAGAGGACAUCAUGUUUAAUACGGUUCCGGAAAAAUCCAGUCAGAAGUUGUUCACGGAGUUUUCACAAUAACUGCUUCUCAUGAACCGAAGCUGGAUUUGCGCGACGUCUCCUCUUGAAAGUUGGAUUACUGUGCACUUCUGGAUCACAGACUAUUCGCAGCUGUACACAUCCUUCUACACUGUAUGCAAACAUGCAACAUCAUUACACACAGUACAAGGAGUCAGACUGGCAUAUGAGGAGCAAAGGAACCCAGGCAGUAGCAUCGUUUCACAAUGUUUCCAUCAUCAUCAUCAGUGGAUGCCUUUGCCGUCCGUAGCCUGAGAUUUCAGAUUUGCAGCAAAAAAAAAAUGAUUUUCUCAUUUAUUGGAAUGCUGUGCAGGUAUUUGUACCUUGCAGCCAUCCAUUACAAUGUCACCAAGCCGUAACAAAAGCAGGAGAGGGAAAGUACAAGGCUAUGUUCCCAAAACACAAAUGACAUACCUUAUGUGGAGGAUGUGAUCAGGCUUGUGUUUGAUGAGGUAUUUGAAGAUAAGCUGAAGGAAACCCCGAUUCCAAUGGACCUGGCAUCACAGUUUGAGAGACCUUCAAAGGAGGACGUGAUUGCAUGCCAUCUUCAGUGCAGGGGUCGUCGAAAGCCAAAAUUGUGACCGAUCUGAUCAGGAAGCUCCAAGCGUAUCUGGAGAACAACACACGACAGGAUGAUAACCUUAUAGUGUCGUCUUAGAUAGCACCAGCUGACAAAGCUUUGAUAUGCCAUUUAUCUGAAUAGAUAGCUGUAAGAAAUGAAUUGAACAAUUUUUGAAACAAGAGCACAAUAUGGUUACUAAAGUAUGUUUAUUUGUAUAUUGUUUAACA